GGUUGUGAACCAUCACUGUUUCUGCUUUCUGUCUCAAUUAAAGUGCAACUUUUCCAUGUUCAGUUCAACUUGU
ensembl:ncRNA T12B3.10 ncRNA